rnacentral:tRNA from 1 species
GGGGCGCUAGUAAAACAAAUACACUGCCUUGUCAGAGCAGAGUUGCAAGUUAGACUCUUGCGCGCUCUU